rnacentral:rRNA from 1 species
UAAGCGACUAAGCGUACACGGUGGAUGCCUAGGCAGUCAGAGGCGAUGAAGGGCGUGCUAAUCUGCGAAAAGCGUCGGUAAGGUGAUAUGAACCGUUAUAACCGACGAUACCCGAAUGGGGAAACCCAGUGCAAUUCGUUGCACUAUUGCAUGGUGAAUACAUAGCCAUGCAAGGCGAACCGGGGGAACUGAAACAUCUAAGUACCCCGAGGAAAAGAAAUCAACCGAGAUUCCCCUAGUAGCGGCGAGCGAACGGGGAGGAGCCCAGAGUCUGAAUCAGUUUGUGUGUUAGUGGAAGCGUCUGGAAAGUCGCAGGGUACAGGGUGAUACUCCCGUACACAAAAACACACUUGCUGUGAACUCGAUGAGUAGGGCGGGACACGUGACAUCCUGUCUGAAUAUGGGGGGACCAUCCUCCAAGGCUAAAUACUCCUGACUGACCGAUAGUGAACCAGUACCGUGAGGGAAAGGCGAAAAGAACCCCGGCGAGGGGAGUGAAAUAGAACCUGAAACCGUGUACGUACAAGCAGUGGGAGCACCUUCGUGGUGUGACUGCGUACCUUUUGUAUAAUGGGUCAGCGACUUAUAUUUUGUAGCAAGGUUAACCGAAUAGGGGAGCCGUAGGGAAACCGAGUCUUAACUGGGCGUCUAGUUGCAAGGUAUAGACCCGAAACCCGGUGAUCUAGCCAUGGGCAGGUUGAAGGUUGGGUAACACUAACUGGAGGACCGAACCGACUAAUGUUGAAAAAUUAGCGGAUGACUUGUGGCUGGGGGUGAAAGGCCAAUCAAACCGGGAGAUAGCUGGUUCUCCCCGAAAGCUAUUUAGGUAGCGCCUCGUGAACUCAUCUUCGGGGGUAGAGCACUGUUUCGGCUAGGGGGCCAUCCCGGCUUACCAAACCGAUGCAAACUCCGAAUACCGAAGAAUGUUAUCACGGGAGACACACGGCGGGUGCUAACGUCCGUCGUGAAGAGGGAAACAACCCAGACCGCCAGCUAAGGUCCCAAAGUCAUGGUUAAGUGGGAAACGAUGUGGGAAGGCAUAGACAGCCAGGAUGUUGGCUUAGAAGCAGCCAUCAUUUAAAGAAAGCGUAAUAGCUCACUGGUCGAGUCGGCCUGCGCGGAAGAUGUAACGGGGCUAAACCAUGCACCGAAGCUGCGGCAGCGACACUUAGGUGUUGUUGGGUAGGGGAGCGUUCUGUAAGCCGUUGAAGGUGACCUGUGAGGGUUGCUGGAGGUAUCAGAAGUGCGAAUGCUGACAUAAGUAACGAUAAUGCGGGUGAAAAACCCGCACGCCGGAAGACCAAGGGUUCCUGUCCAACGUUAAUCGGGGCAGGGUGAGUCGACCCCUAAGGCGAGGCUGAAAAGCGUAGUCGAUGGGAAACAGGUUAAUAUUCCUGUACUUGGUGUUACUGCGAAGGGGGGACGGAGAAGGCUAGGCUAGCCGGGCGACGGUUGUCCCGGUUUAAGCAUGUAGGCGGAGCGACUUGGUAAAUCCGGUUGCUUAUCAACGCUGAGGUGUGAUGACGAGUCACUACGGUGAUGAAGUAGUUGAUGCCAAGCUUCCAGGAAAAGCCUCUAAGCAUCAGGUAACAUUAAAUCGUACCCCAAACCGACACAGGUGGUCAGGUAGAGAAUACUCAGGCGCUUGAGAGAACUCGGGUGAAGGAACUAGGCAAAAUGGUGCCGUAACUUCGGGAGAAGGCACGCUGGCAUUAGGUAAUGGGACUUGCUCCCGGCGCCGAAGCCAGUCGCAGAUACCAGCUGGCUGCAACUGUUUAAUAAAAACACAGCACUGUGCAAACACGAAAGUGGACGUAUACGGUGUGACGCCUGCCCGGUGCUGGAAGGUUAAUUGAUGGGGUCAGCCGCAAGGCGAAGCUCUUGAUCGAAGCCCCAGUAAACGGCGGCCGUAACUAUAACGGUCCUAAGGUAGCGAAAUUCCUUGUCGGGUAAGUUCCGACCUGCACGAAUGGCGUAAUGAUGGCCAGGCUGUCUCCACCCGAGACUCAGUGAAAUUGAACUCGCUGUGAAGAUGCAGUGUACCCGCGGCAAGACGGAAAGACCCCGUGAACCUUUACUAUAGCUUGACACUGAACAUUGAGCCUUGAUGUGUAGGAUAGGUGGGAGGCAUUGAAGUGUGGACGCCAGUCUGCAUGGAGCCAACCUUGAAAUACCACCCUUUAAUGUUUGAUGUUCUAACUCGGCCCCGUAAUCCGGGGUGAGGACAGUGUCUGGUGGGUAGUUUGACUGGGGCGGUCUCCUCCCAAAGAGUAACGGAGGAGCACGAAGGUUAGCUAAUCACGGUCGGACAUCGUGAGGUUAGUGCAAAGGCAUAAGCUAGCUUGACUGCGAGAGUGACGGCUCGAGCAGGUACGAAAGUAGGUCUUAGUGAUCCGGUGGUUCUGAAUGGAAGGGCCAUCGCUCAACGGAUAAAAGGUACUCCGGGGAUAACAGGCUGAUACCGCCCAAGAGUUCAUAUCGACGGCGGUGUUUGGCACCUCGAUGUCGGCUCAUCACAUCCUGGGGCUGAAGUAGGUCCCAAGGGUAUGGCUGUUCGCCAUUUAAAGUGGUACGCGAGCUGGGUUUAGAACGUCGUGAGACAGUUCGGUCCCUAUCUGCCGUGGGCGUUGGAAGAUUGAGAGGGGCUGCUCCUAGUACGAGAGGACCGGAGUGGACGAAUCACUGGUGUUCGGGUUGUCAUGCCAAUGGCACUGCCCGGUAGCUAAAUUCGGAAGAGAUAACCGCUGAAAGCAUCUAAGCGGGAAACUUGCCUCGAGAUGAGUCUUCCCUGGGGCUUUAAGCCCCCUGAAGGAACGUUAAAGACUAUGACGUUGAUAGGCUGGGUGUGUAAGUGCAGCGAUGCAUUGAGCUAACCAGUACUAAUGAUCCGUGAGGCUUAACCU